UACGAAGGGGGCUAGCGUUGUUCGGAUUUACUGGGCGUAAAGCGCACGUAGGCGGCUUCUUAAGUCAGGGGUGAAAUCCUGGAGCUCAACUCCAGAACUGCCUUUGAUACUGAGAAGCUUGAGUCCGGGAGAGGUGAGUGGAACUGCGAGUGUAGAGGUGAAAUUCGUAGAUAUUCGCAAGAACACCAGUGGCGAAGGCGGCUCACUGGCCCGGUACUGACGCUGAGGUGCGAAAGCGUGGGGAGCAAACAGG
rnacentral:rRNA from 1 species